GGGGCGUUGGCGGAAUUGGUAUACGCGCUGGUUUUAGGUACCAGUGUCUUCGGACAUGAGAGUUCAAGUCUCUUGCGCCCUACCA
rnacentral:tRNA from 3 species